GGGUGAUUAGCUCAGCUGGGAGAGCACCUCCCUUACAAGGAGGGGGUCGGCGUAGUCUCCGCCGUGUA
rnacentral:tRNA from 1 species